CCUACGGGAGGCAGCAGUGAGGAAUAUUGGUCAAUGGACGCAAGUCUGAACCAGCCAUGCCGCGUGCAGGAAGACGGCUCUAUGAGUUGUAAACUGCUUUUGUACGAGGGUAAACGCAGAUACGCGUAUCUUUCUGAAUGUAUCGUACGAAUAAGGAUCGGCUAACUCCGUGCCAGCAGCCGCGGUAAUACGGAGGAUUCAAGCGUUAUCCGGAGUUAUUGGGUUUAAAGGGUGCGUAGGCGGUCGGAUAAGUUAGAGGUGAAAUCCCGAGGCUCAACUUCGGAAGUGCCUCUGAUACUGUUCGGCUAGAGAGUGGUUGCGGUAGGCGGAAUGUAUGGUGUAGCGGUGAAAUGCUUAGAGAUCAUACAGAACACCGAUUGCGAAGGCAGCUUACCAAGCUACUUCUGACGUUGAGGCACGAAAGCGUGGGGAGCAAACAGGAUUAGAUACCCCGGUAGUC
rnacentral:rRNA from 1 species